rnacentral:rRNA from 1 species
CCUACGGGGGGCAGCAGUGGGGGAUAUUGCACAAUGGGGAAAACCCUGAUGCAGCGACGCCGCGUGGGUGAAGAAGCGCCUCGGCGCGUAAAGCCCUGUCAGCAGGGAAGAAAAUGACGGUACCUGAAGAAGAAGCCCCGGCUAACUACGUGCCAGCAGCCGCGGUAAUACGUAGGGGGCAAGCGUUAUCCGGAUUUACUGGGUGUAAAGGGGGCGCAGACGGCGAUGCAAGCCAGGAGUGAAAGCCCGGGGCCCAACCCCGGGACUGCUCUUGGAACUGCGUGGCUAGAGUGCAGGAGGGGCAGGCGGAAUGUCUGGUGUAGCGGUGAAAUGCGUAGAGAUCAGGAGGAACAACGGUGGCGAAGGCGGCCUGCUGGACUGCAACUGACGUUGAGGCCCGAAAGCGUGGGGAGCAAACAGGAUUAGAUACCCCAGUAGUC